AAAUUCAGUCGCUACUUAUACAUCAUAAAUUCGUGAAACCGUAUCCGAUGAAUAUGGAUAUCGAUACUGCAAGCAUAAAUGAAUGGAAAAUUCGUGGAGAAAAUCGUGUAUAUCAGUAAUACUUGUAUAAAAAAAAAGUAUUUGAUUCAAUGAAAUGUGCUACUCUCUCCAUUGUUCAACAACAACGUGUAGGUAUAUUUCAGCGUCCCUCGUACCUAACCCGGUUCGACUAGGGACUGGAUCAACGUCGUCACGACGGUCGUAUUUGGUACGAUCUACAAUGCCAAGACACCCGAUAUACCUACGCAUUAUAAUAUCAAAGCGUAUAAUAUACGCUGGAGCAAAAUAAAAGAAAAAGAAACACCGAGAGUACCGGAUAAGGUAAAGUGGUGGUCCUCGUUCCGAAAAAAAGGGUGUUUCAAGACGUCUGCAACCUCUCAAACAAAGAACAAAGACUUCCUUCAAGUAUAUAAGACGAACAAACAAGAUCCUCUUAUUCUCUUCUCCAGCGAUAAUUUCUCUUUUCAGCAUAUUACAAGGUGGCCAAAAAAUUUUGGACAACCGAAAAAUUCCACGACAACAUUUCCAGGUUUUCCCUGACAUUUUACCAGUUCUGAUGUGUGACUACCCUGUAUUAAAAACACGAUUGUAACAACGCUGUGCAGGCGCGACCGUUUCAUGAUAUAGCUCAAGUUCCAACUAGAUGUGGUAGAAGUAAAAAAAAAUAAUUAAAUAAAACAAGAUGACGACGACGACGACGGUGAGGAUGACGAGGACCGAUACAGAAGUGUUUGACUACAAAGAAGUACGGAAAAGCGACUUGUACACCACACGGAGUGUCUCUCAUACCUUCGUCGUCGUCGUUACAAUCCUAUCGUAACGACAAAGGAAGGUGAACGGACGCGGACCGUAUGUGACACGAUUAUUAUACCGUGCAACAUAGCCGUAACCAAGGAUUCUAACUCAACCUAGGUAUAUAAAUAAAUUAAUCAAUGCACGAGGCUUAAAUAUACCCGCCAAAAAAAAUUUUAAAAUUCGUUCCAUCCAACUUUAGUGAAAUUAUUUUUUGGAACUCGGUUCGAACAAGCACCGCGCAACAGUAUAAUAACGAGGUUGUGCUAGGAAUGGUUGGGUUCAUGCGUGUAUGCGUGCAUGUACGAAAGUGGCGACAAGGACGUUGCCAAGCCUCGCCCGAGCUACGAUCGCCAAAAACUCUCCAUCGCUCAUCGGCUCGUUCUUCGAAAAGAUUUACCGUUCGGUGAAAUCGGCAGCACGAUAUCUGCAUCAUAGCGCGAUGGUGGUGGUGUUGGUGGAUCAGUUUCAAGGCCGUUUUGCAUACAAUGUAUAAUAAACUGACGUGACUUUAAGCCAAACGGAUUAAACAUUCCAAAGUUUUUCUUUUCCUUCUUUCAUCAUUUCCGUUGUAGAAAUUUACAUCAAAUAAAAAAACGAAAUAAAUAUGUAUACAUAAUAUAGUAUGAUGUAAGACACAUGCAAGAUUGAACAAGAAUUGAGAGCGAUGUAAAAAGAGAAAGAACAAAUUGAAUGUUCAAUAUGAACAAUACAAAUCAGAAUCAAGUUUGUAACUUUAUUGUAAUGACGCGUCGUCGGAAAAACUCGGUUAUUUUUCAACUUUAGUGGAUUACCUGAAAUUCAGGAAUCCGUUGAUAAAGCACGAAGAAACUCAGUUGUUGUCAAUUCGACUUAUUCAGAUGCAAAGUAGCAAUUUUUUUCUCAACGUGCCGAUACGGUAACGUUACUAUCUUAAGUCACGUAACAAUUAGAGCAACAUAUAACAAUACGAUGUAGUAGUAAUAAAAAAGAAAAAAAAUGAAAAUCAGCCGACAAAGUGUUGAUAAAUACUAGGAUACGUCAUCCAUGUCACGUGCAAUAUCGAUAAUAUGAGUCGGCUCUUUUAUCACGCGUGUUUGCCCGUUUUACCGUAUAGACACGUCUAUUGUAUCCGAACGAUUAACAGCCAUUGCAUAUAUACACAUAUAUCCACACUCCAAUGUCCAUGUCCAUAUGCACGUAGCGUACGAUUCAGAGAAAUGCACACCU